AGAGUUUGAUCAUGGCUCAGAUUGAACGCUGGCGGCAUGCCUUACACAUGCAAGUCGAGCGGCAGCGCGGGGGCAACCCUGGCGGCGAGCGGCGAACGGGUGAGUAAUGCAUCGGAACGUGUCCUCUUGUGGGGGAUAACCAGUCGAAAGACUGGCUAAUACCGCAUGAGAUCGAGAGAUGAAAGCGGGGGACCGCAAGGCCUCGCGCGAGAGGAGCGGCCGAUGCCGGAUUAGCUAGUUGGCGGGGUAACGGCCCACCAAGGCGACGAUCCGCAGCUGGUCUGAGAGGACGACCAGCCACACUGGGACUGAGACACGGCCCAGACUCCUACGGGAGGCAGCAGUGGGGAAUUUUGGACAAUGGGGGCAACCCUGAUCCAGCCAUGCCGCGUGUGUGAAGAAGGCCUUCGGGUUGUAAAGCACUUUCGGACGGAACGAAAUCGCGCGAUCUAACAAGCCGCGUGGAUGACGGUACCGUAAGAAGAAGCACCGGCUAACUACGUGCCAGCAGCCGCGGUAAUAC
rnacentral:rRNA from 1 species